rnacentral:rRNA from 1 species
CCUACGGGCAGCAGCAGUGAGGAAUAUUGGUCAAUGGACGAGAGUCUGAACCAGCCAAGUAGCGUGAAGGAUGACUGCCCUAUGGGUUGUAAACUUCUUUUAUAUGGGAAUAAAAUGUUCCACGUGUGGGAUUUUGUAUGUACCAUAUGAAUAAGGAUCGGCUAACUCCGUGCCAGCAGCCGCGGUAAUACGGAGGAGCCGAGCGUUAUCCGGCUUUAUUGGGUUUAAAGGGAGCGUCGGUGGAUUGUUAAGUCAGUUGUGAAAGUUUGCGGCUCAACCGUAAAAUUGCAGUUGAAACUGGCAGUCUGGAUUACAGUAGAGGUAAGCGGAAUGCGUGGUGUAGCGGUGAAAUGCUUAGAUAUCACGAAGAACUCCGAUUGCGAAGGCAGCUCACUGGACUGCAACUGACACUGAGGCUCGAAAGUGUGGGUAUCAAACAGGAUUAGAUACCCGAGUAGUC